UACGAAGGGUGCAAACGUUGCUCGGAAUCAUUGGGCGUAAAGCGCACGUAGGCGGCUUGCCAAGUCGGACGUGAAAGUCCCUCAGCUCAACUGAGGACGUGCAUCCGAAACUGGCGAGCUUGAGUACUGAAGAGGAUCGCGGAAUUCCCGGUGUAGAGGUGAAAUUCGUAGAUAUCGGGAGGAACACCAGUGGCGAAGGCGGCGAUCUGGGCAGAUACUGACGCUGAGGUGCGAAAGCGUGGGGAGCAAACAGG
rnacentral:rRNA from 1 species